UCCACAUCGACAGGUUGUGGGCGCUUGGU
rnacentral:sRNA from 1 species